GUUCGGAUUAGCUUGUCCAAGCCUUUCGAUAUAAACAGGUCUUCCCUCCCUAUCAACCCCAUGAUAUCCUUGUGGGUAAAACUGCAAUACUUCUUCUAACUCGUCAAAGUCAAAAUCCUGCAAUAUUGUGUCUGCUCCAAACUCUUUCCUCCAGUUAAGCAUUUCUUCCCACAUCGGAAUAGUUUUCUCAACAUUGAGAUCUCUUGCCUUUAAGAAUCUCAACAAUGUAUGGUAGUCAUCAUGUAUGGAUGGCAACAAAUUCCGCUCUAGCAGCCUUUGACGCAAUUCACAGACAGCAUUCUCCUCUUUUGCAUCACGUACAUCCUCUAUUGAAACUGAAGGGAACCUGUAGUCCACUUUCCUUUUUCCUCUUUUCUUCAGAGAGUGGGUGAACUUGUUUGAAGCAUGUAAUGCCUUUUUCUUGAAAGUACCAAUUCGUGAACGUCGUCUUUCAUCCUCUGAAACCUCGAAGUCUGAUCUUCUUUCUCUUACGUCAUCAUAUGCAUCCAACCAUUCUGACAUCCUUCCAACAAAGAGGAUGUAAGAAUAACGAAGGAAAUGUGGCUCUUAACGUUUAAAGCAAUCUAUGCUGUUCCGCAGGAAAACCAUCCGAGCUCAAGUUUCACUACUGAACCCUAACAAAACGCAAGCUAAAU
rnacentral:misc_RNA from 1 species